rnacentral:lncRNA from 1 species
AUGUCAUCUAUAUGCUGCAGUAGAGCAUGUGAAAUGGGUUGCAUUCAUCUGGUUACCAUGUGUGUCCAUCCUGAUUCAUUGCACAAUGUGGGGAUGAGGACAUGUCCAAAACAGAGCAUGCGGGAGCACAGUGUUUUUCUGGUCAACAUCAUCAGACUGCUUAGGCUGGUGAAUGAAUGUAGGGAUGGGAAAGGCUCUCAGGACCAUCCAGACCAGUUGUUUCAGGUGGCAAUAUUAUGUUGCCUGUUUCUAACCACAUGGAAGGAUUGCUUAGGGUAUUUCUACUGCUGGAAAGAAGCUCCUGAACUUCUUGUUUUCAGCUCAAAUUUAUUCUUGGUCAAAGGAUACACUCAGCCACCCUUCCCUUCAGAUGAAUCUGCUGAGAAGAACUUGCCAGAAAUCAUGAGAUGAGAUGAUAAAAAAAUCAUCACAGUUGUGCCCAGGAUGUUGCCAGCCUUCUGUUCUUGAGCAUCUCUGCACAUCAGCUGCCACACAAGGAGUAACCAGCCCUCAUUCUCCAAUGGCCACAGAGCAGAAACAGUGUGACAGCACUGCAACCAGUGGAAAAGGCUGGGAUUUCAAGUAUUUUUGUUUGACUUGGCUGCAGAAAUCAAAUUUAAGAAAAAUGGAAAGAACAUUUUAUUUCAUCUUCAUUCUAUAUCAUUUGAUUUUGAUAAGACUGAAAUAGUUUCAUUUUGAAGAGUUCAUAGUGUUACCUUUGGAUUGCCUUUUCCAAUGCAUUGACUUUCAGGUGGCACAUGCACUUACACCUUUGCUGAAGGCUUGGACUCCACCUGCUCUGUGUUUCCCAAUGAAAAACAAGUCUACUAGAACAUUUUGAACAAACUUUGCUAGACAGGAAAUGUAUGUUCAAGAUUAAACCAAUGAUAUAGGAAGAAUUUAUCUCUACUAGUAUCUAUCCAUGGCAGGAGUAUCUCAGUUUGCAUGAGGGAUUUUAACCUGACUGCUAGGACACUUAGAAUUAGAACAGUUCAGUUGGAAGGGACCUGCAAAGCUCACCUAGUCCAUCUGCCUGACUUCUCCAGGGUGAACCAAAAGUUAAAGCAUGUUAUUAAGGACAUUGUACAAAUGCCCCUUGAAUACUGACAGGCACAGGGCAUCAAGCACCUCACUAGAAAGCCUGUUCCAGUGUUUGAACACCCUCUUGGCAGAGAUAUUUUUCCUAAUAUCCACUCUGAUCUAGUUAGUAGAAAAACAAAUGACAAUAAAACAUGGAAAACAUAUAUCA